rnacentral:rRNA from 1 species
UUGGAGGGCAAGUCUGGUGCCAGCAGCCGCGGUAAUUCCAGCUCCAAUAGCGUAUAUUAAAGUUGUUGAGGUUAAAAAGCUCGUAGUUGAACCUUGGGCCUAGCCGGCCGGUCCGCCUCACCGCGUGCACUGGCUCGGCUGGGUCUUUCCUUCUGGAGAACCUCAUGCCCUUCACUGGGUGUGACGGGGAACCAGGACUUUUACUCUGAACAAAUUAGAUCGCUUAAAGAAGGCCUAUGCUCGAAUACAUUAGCAUGGAAUAAUAGAAUAGG